UUUUAUUGAUCAAGUCAGAUUUUCAAAAGAAGUCUGCUUUGUAGGUCUGCCACUGUGGGAGGCAUCUUGAAGAAAUUCAUCAUGAAUAGUAAGAUAGAGGAGAUUAGGGUUGAAGCCAUGUUCAAGAGCUCUGGCAUAUAUACAGUUGAUUUGAUGAGCAGAGAGAUUUGUAAUAUUCAUGAUCUCAGUGGUAGUUUUUGCAAUAUAAGG
rnacentral:sRNA from 1 species